UUCUUGUGAUAAAUUCUGUCCAGUUCUGUUACUGAAGGAAGAGAUGAAAAACCAAAUAAUAUAGAA
rnacentral:snoRNA from 1 species